UGUCCUACGGAAGGCAGCAGUGAGGAAUAUUGGUCAAUGGGCGCGAGCCUGAACCAGCCAAGUCGCGUGAGGGAUGAAGGUACAGAGUAUCGUAAACCUCUUUUGUCAGGGAACAAAGGCGGGGACGUGUCCCCGGAUGAGUGUACCUGAAGAAAAAGCAUCGGCUAACUCCGUGCCAGCAGCCGCGGUAAUACGGAGGAUGCGAGCGUUAUCCGGAUUUAUUGGGUUUAAAGGGUGCGCAGGCGGUCUGUUAAGGCAGCGGUCAAAGCCCGGGGCUCAACCCCGGCCCGCCGUUGAAACUGGCA
rnacentral:rRNA from 1 species